UACGUAGGGUGCGAGCGUUAAUCGGAAUUACUGGGCGUAAGGCGUGCGCAGGCGGCGCGUUAAGACAGAUGUGAAAUCCCCGGGCUUAACCUGGGAACUGCAUUUGUGACUGCACGGCUAGAGUGUGUCAGAGGGGGGUAGAAUUCCACGUGUAGCAGUGAAAUGCGUAGAUAUGUGGAGGAAUACCGAUGGCGAAGGCAGCCCCCUGGGAUAACACUGACGCUCAUGCACGAAAGCGUGGGGAGCAAACAGG
rnacentral:rRNA from 1 species